GACAGAGGGGGCAAGCGUUGCUCGGAAUUACUGGGCGUAAAGGGCGCGUAGGCGGAAUGGCAAGUCGGUCGUGAAAUCCUUCGGCUCAACCGAAGAACGUCGAUCGAAACUGCCGUUCUUGAGGAUUGCAGAGGAGACUGGAAUUCCCGGUGUAGCGGUGAAAUGUGUAGAGAUCGGGAGGAACACCGGUGGCGAAGGCGGGUCUCUGGGCAAUUCCUGACGCUGAGGCACGAAAGCGUGGGGAGCAAACAGG
rnacentral:rRNA from 1 species